GCUUGCUCAGAUAUGACGAUGGACAUUGCAAAGAGUGGCGAACGGGUGAGUAACACGUGGGAAACCUACCUCUUAGCAGGGGAUAACAUUUGGAAACAGAUGCUAAUACCGUAUAACAAUGACAACCGCAGGUUGUUAUUUAAAAGAUGGUUCUGCUAUCACUAAGAGAUGGUCCCGCGGUGCAUUAGCUAGUUGGUAAGGUAAUGGCUUACCAAGGCGAUGAUGCAUAGCCGAGUUGAGAGACUGAUCGGCCACAAUGGGACUGAGACACGGCCCAUACUCCUACGGGAGGCAGCAGUAGGGAAUCUUCCACAAUGGGCGAAAGCCUGAUGGAGCAACGCCGCGUGUGUGAUGAAGGGUUCGGCUCGUAAACACUGUUGUAAGAGAAGAAUGACAUUGAGAGUAACUGUUCAAUGUGUGACGGUUCUUACCAGAAAGGAACGGCUAAUACGUGCCAGCAGCCGCGGUAUACGUAUGUUCCAGCGUUAUCCGGAUUUAUUGGCGUAAAGCGAGCGCAGACGUUAUUAAGUCUGAGUGAAGCCCUCAGCUCAACUGAGGAAUUGCUUUGGAACUGAUGACUUGAGUGCAGUAGAGGAAGUGGAACUCCAUGUGUAGCGGUGAAAUGCGUAGAUAUAUGGAAGACACCAGUGGCGAAGCGGCUUCUGGACUGUAACUGACGUUGAGGCUCGAAGUGUGGGUAGCAAACAGAUUAGAUACCUG
rnacentral:rRNA from 1 species